AGGGAAUUGCUGCAUUGAUUCCACUGGAUCCCUGGGAGUGUUCCAAGGUGGGGACCUUGCGACCCCAUUUGUGGAUGAGACGACUCAAGUGAUUGAUCCAGGACCACAGCUGGGACAAGCACCUUUCUCUAGGCCCCUGCUUCUCCCAAGAGCUUGAAGGACACGCAGAGGCUUGUGUCCACUGGAGGACUCAUGGAAACACAGGGUAACAGGGUGCAUAUUUAGCCAUGCGUCAGUUUUAUUCCCUGAAGCAAAAAGUCUUCCCACAGAACCCACCAGACUGACCGGGGCCACUCACAAGGAGGGAAGAAAAACUACUUUGUGGUUUUCUCCGGAGGACAUCCAUCCGGUCCAUGCCAAUGAGCAGUAUCUUCCAGAAGGAAGAAUUCAGGAAUGAGGAAAAGAAGUAAUGAAGCAUCUACAGAAAAGAUCAUUGGGUCUAAAUCAGCAAAUUCAUUACAUAAAAGUGACUUCUGAUCACAAUCUCUCUUAACACUGUCCCUACAUACCAUCCAAAGAUAGUACUUUGUGCUGUGUCUAAAAUCUUCUGAUGCGGCUUUAAAACAAUCACAUCCUUAGCAACAGACUAGAGUGAUAAUGUCAGAAAACAGUAUUGGUUCUAUGCCCACAGUUUC